ACGGAGGACGGUCGUGGGUUUAAUUCGCUGCUACACGAAGAACUUACCUGGUUUGACAUAUAGGUUGUAGGGAACUGAAAGGGACCGACCCUUCGGGGAGCCUAUACAGGUGUUGCAUGGCUGUCGUCAGCUCGUGUCGUGAGAUGUUCGGUUAAGUCCGCUAACGAGCGCAACCCUCGUCGUAUGUUAUAUGUGUCAUACGAGACUGCCGGUAAAAGCCGGAGGAAGGUGAGGAUGAUGUCAAGUCAGCAUGACCUUUAUAUCCAGGGCUACACACACGCUACAAUGGUCUGUACAAUGGGUAGCCAAGCCGCGAGGCGGAGCCAAUCCUGAAAGCAGGCCUCAGUUCGGAUUGCAGGCUGCAAUUCGCCUGCAUGAAGUCGGAAUCGCUAGUAAUCGCAGGUCAGCAUACUGCGGUGAAUACGUUCCCGGGCCUU
rnacentral:rRNA from 1 species